rnacentral:antisense_RNA from 1 species
GUGGGAGCUGGCUUGCCAGCGAUGACGGUGGAUCAGUCAGUACAUGAGUGACUGACACACCGCAAUCGCUGGCAAGCCAGCUCCCAC